UGGAUGUGCUUUUGUAAUGUUAGAAAAGAAGGUUACCGUUGAAAUGGCCGUUGGAGGGUAAAUAGGAAACGAAUUUGAUAUUUAAGGGCAAAUAAGAAAAGUAUUUGCUAUAUGAAGGGUAUAUAAAAAAGUUAGUUAUGGUACAAGGGUAUAUUGGAAUGUGCAAAAUGGUAAUUUUUCAGAGAUAACGGCAACUGUUAACAGCUCACUAACGAAAUUUAACUUCAAGGGUAUAUUAGAAAGAACUUAUAAUAUAAGAAGGGUAUUUUCAAUAUUAGCCUUCUAAGAAGGGUAAAUAAUAAAACCGAAAACUUUUCAGGGGUAUAUAGACAAUUGCCCCUUGUAUAUUUUAUUAAUUUGAUCGUUUAAUUGAUUCGAUAUAGAGUGUCGGACCAGUCACUAAUACUGUAGCCAAUCCUAUCCAAACCUCCGGAACACUACAGACACAUUAAGAAGACAUGCUCUAGAAAAGAAAAGAAACAUCAACCG
rnacentral:lncRNA from 1 species